rnacentral:tRNA from 1 species
UAAGACCUGUGGAACACUAAUCCACAUCUUCUGAAUGCAAAUCAGACACUUUAAUUAAGCUAAAGCCUC